rnacentral:lncRNA from 1 species
AAAACAAAACAAAACAAAAGAACAUAAAGGAGGGUCUGAAGACACGUACAACCAUUAAAGAAUGUGAUGGCUUUGUAAUGUGUCAGUUUGGCUAGGCUGAACUAGCUCUCUCAGAAUUCUCUUUCUUCUAUGUUUCUAGUUAAGGUAGACCACAAGGGAGAUUCUUCAGAGAUUUGGAAGGCAAAGGGAAGUAGUAGCCACUGUGUAGCUCCCACAUGCUGUUGCUGAGUUGCUGAUUCACCUUGGUGUGAAGAGGUGGCUAGGUCUGAAAUUGCUCUAUGUUGCCCUGGAUCCUCUGUCAGUGUCUCUGAUUCCUGAGCCAGGUGUGUGUGUUUAGCUCCACGAGGCAAUUCCUGGGCCAGGUAUGUGUGUUUAGCUCCAUGAGGUGAUUCCUGGGCCAGGUGUAUGUGUUUAGCUCUGUGAUAAAGGGCCCUGGCUUCUGCACGAUGACCUCAUCACAAGGCCAGACCGGAUAAGAAUGGACUCAGGCUUCAGUCUGUCCUUGUGGGAUGCCAGCUUCGCUCGUGGGUUUGCACCUGCUCCUGGUCUUCCCCUCCUGACCGCCUGCCCUGUGGACUUUGAGCCCCAGCAUCAGCAUGUGAUGCUUGGAGGUGUGGCAGCCAUCUUGCAACCACGCAGGAGAAAACACCAUGCUCUGAAGAUGAUGGAGAAGGAAGAUGGGAAGGGCAUGGAUCCUUCCUGACGUUGUCGAGCCGCUGAACCAACCCUGCAACCUCCCAGCUCCAGACUUGUUAAAUGAGAUGAUAAAUGUCUUUAUUGUUUGAGCCACUGAUAGCUGGGUAAUCUAUGAAGUACAGCUGAAAGUAUCGUGAGAGAUGACUGAAGAUCUUGUGUACAAUCCUGCCUCCCAGAGUUCCAGGAGCAGUGCCAGCCAGCACUAAGGCAGAAAACACAACGGGCGGGCUGAGGGCCUCGUGCUCUCCAGUCUCCUUUCACCUGUUCUCGCCGCAUCACACUGUCGAGCUCAGAGGCUGAGAAUUCCACAGGUUAGAGCUUUCGCUGAGACCGAAGUGUGACUAAUGAUAUGGAAACACCUCUGAAAGGGCUGGGAAUGACCCAUGACCUUCAAGGCUUCUUCCCUCUAACGAUUCAGUGACUUGCGUCGCAAAGGAAACAGGAGACGGGCUAGAAUGAGGACAGAAGGGGAGAGAAAGCACUUGGGGGCUGUUUUUAAGCAGGAAUUCAUUGAAAGUUUGCUAGGUUCCAGGAGCUUUACCCUCACUAUCAAAUUUUUUUAAUCAAACAUUUAUUUAGCACUUAUUAUGGUGCCAGGUGACAUCCAAGCACUUGAAGAAUAUUAGUACGUUUAAUCCUUGCAACAGCCACACGAGAUGGAGUUGCUAUCGUUAAGCCUAAUUUAUGAAGAGGUGGACCAGGCAGGUCACCAGCUCUGAACCAUUCUGGACACGGGGCAGUUCUCGUGGUCUCAGGCAAAGCAACUCUGUGUCCUGCAGCUCUCCAGCCCCAAGCUCUGCGGGGUGGCCCCACCGGCAGGUUGGCCUGGAUCCCCUAUGCAGCCUGAGGAUUUCAGGGGCCCUGGCUCUCAGCUGCUGCCCCGGCCUGCACCCAUGCCAGGUGCUCCCUUCUCCAAGGGCAGCAAGACUUCUCCCAAGUAAGUGGGAGGCCCCAGACCUCCCUUGUCACACGAGGCCCUUGGCAACAAGUUCCAAGAGGAAGAAGGAAUUCAGAAGUUGAAGAUGAAGAUGGGGCUUUGAAGCCCUUUGCUCUGCCUCCCAAAAGUGCCAUCCCUGCCUCUGUCCGUCCUGCUUCCUCCUUGGUCCACAGCAGAGAGCCGUGCUCAGGGCGGAGCAGAGGGCAGUAACCUCAACCUCUCUAGUGUUGGGAUCUAACGCCUGAAGUGGGCUAAGCCAAGCUUUGCUAGGGUGCAGUCCUGAGAGACUUCUCUUUAAAAAUUAGAUAAUGGGAAUUAAAAAUGUUUUAAUGGUCCUGUAAACCUUGCAUUAAGAUUAUUGUCAUCCUUAUUUGAUAAAUGAGGAAACGCGGCUCAGAGUGACUGGCCAUCCAUGGCCACGCAGCUAACAAGUAGCCUGUCUGAAUGCAAAACCCAG